AGAGUUUGAUCCUGGCUCAGGAUGAACGCUGGCGGCAGGCUUAAUACAUGCAAGUCGAACGGUAAGGCCGAGCGUAGCAAUACGUGAGGUACACGAGUGGCGCACGGGUGCGUAACGCGUAUGCAAUCUGCCCCCGACCGGGACAAAACAGCUGGAAACGGCUGCUAAUAUCCCAUGGUCAUGAGAGACGGCAUCGUUUUUCAUGUAAAGAUUCAUUGGUCGGGGAUGAGCAUGCGUAUUAUUAGGUAGUUGGUGGGGUAACGGCCCACCAAGCCGACGAUGAUUAGGGGUUCUGAGAGGAUUAACCCCCACACUGGAACUGAGACACGGUCCAGACUCCUACGGGAGGCAGCAGUAGGGAAUAUUGGGCAAUGGAGGCAACUCUGACCCAGCCAUGCCGCGUGAAGGAAGACGGCCCUAUGGGUUGUAAACUUCUUUUGCCGCAGAGUAAACCCGGUCACGUGUGGCCGGUUGAGAGUAUGCGGCGAAUAAGUAUCGGCUAACUCCGUGCCAGCAGCCGCGGUAAUACGGAGGAUGCAAGCGUUAUCCGGAUUUAUUGGGUUUAAAGGGUGCGUAGGCUGUGGGGAAAGUCAGGGGUGAAAGCCCGGCGCUUAACGCCGGAACUGCCUUUGAUACUUCUCUGCUGGAAUACGGAUGCCGUGGGAGGAAUGAGUAGUGUAGCGGUGAAAUGCAUAGAUAUUACUCAGAACACCGAUUGCGAAGGCAUCUCACGAAUCCGUCAUUGACGCUGAGGCACGAAAGCGUGGGGAUCAAACAGGAUUAGAUACCCUGGUAGUCCACGCAGUAAACGAUGAUAACUAACCGUCGGCGAUACACAGUCGGUGGUCAAGCGAAAGCGAUAAGUUAUCCACCUGGGGAGUACGUUCGCAAGAAUGAAACUCAAAGGAAUUGACGGGGGCCCGCACAAGCGGAGGAACAUGUGGUUUAAUUCGAUGAUACGCGAGGAACCUUACCCGGGCUCGAACGGCAAGUGAAGGAACAAGAGAUUGUGACGCCCUUCGGGGCACUUGUCGAGGUGCUGCAUGGUUGUCGUCAGCUCGUGUCGUGAGGUGUUGGCUUAAGUGCCAUAACGAGCGCAACCCUUGUCGCCAGUUACCAUCAAGUAAAGUUGGGGACUCUGGCGAGACUGCCACCGCAAGGUGUGAGGAAGGCGGGGAUGACGUCAAAUCAGCACGGCCCUUACGUCCGGGGCGACACACGUGUUACAAUGGCGACUACAGAGGGAAGCCACCUGGUGACAGGGAGCAGAUCUCGAAAAGUCGUCUCAGUUCGGAUUGGAGUCUGCAACUCGACUCCAUGAAGCUGGAUUCGCUAGUAAUCGCGCAUCAGCCAUGGCGCGGUGAAUACGUUCCCGGGCCUUGUACACACCGCCCGUCAAGCCAUGAAAGCCUGGGGCGCCUGAAGUCCGUGACCGCGAGGGUCGGCCUAGGGUGAAACAGGUGAUUGGGGCUAAGUCGUAACAAGGUAACC
rnacentral:rRNA from 1 species